rnacentral:lncRNA from 1 species
UAUUUCUGCCUGUCGCUUAUUAUCUGGUUGAGCUGGUGGCGGGAGUCCCGGCCCAUGUGUGUUACCAGAGGGAUGGUCUAGAGGAUGAAUCCAUCUGUCAGAGGCAUCCAAGAAGAAAGGCCUGGGCCAGGAUCACAUGGAAGACCCUGAAGACAGGAUCGAGUCUUACCUGCCUGGAUUGAACAGGGAUGCAGUGACCAGUCCCAUCUGCUCCCACCCUGCUGCCCUCUGAAUCGAGAGUUUGAGGCCAUGACCAGGGUAACGUUCAGCUGGUAGAGACAACACAACCCUGCUGGCUGUUUAAGCCAUGCUGGAAUGGUGCUCACAGGGUAACAAUUCUGAGUGAUGAACAGAAGCAGCACUUGAGCCAGACUCUGACCAAGAACUACGGGCAGGCUAGAGCCACACAGAUCCCCGCCUCAGUAGACCGGCUGCAGCAGGAGGUACACCAUGCCCUAUGGCCUUGAAGGCCAAGCAGACACAGGUUCAAAUCCUCACUCUCUUCUUUCCUGUCUGUGUGGCCCUGGGCAAGUUACUUACCCUCUCUGAGCCUCGGCUGCCACAUCCCUAAAAUGAAGCCUCUUUAGGGUAUGUGAGCAUUAAAUUCGGUCACACCUGUAAAGUCCCUACCACCGUGAGAAGUGCCUGCUGAAGCCUGGUUCCUCUCCCUCCCUCUCCUUGACUCCCUCCUCCAAACCCACCCCUGCUGUCUUCCCGUUCUGGGUCCUGGUGGGCAGGAAGCUGGCAGUACCAGGAGAACUCCAUCUCCUGCCAGGAUCUGGGCCAGGAAGCCUCUCUCCGGGUUUCUUCUGUCUGUGAGGCUGCCUUCCUUCUUCCCUGGGGAGCGGGGAGCUGAAGCCCCAUAAGAGGGAGCGCUACCCGACGGGGGUAUUUCAGCUAAGCCACCAACAGAACUCUCCAGUUGUGAGCCAGCAGGCAGGAUGCUGAGGGACAGAAAGGUGGUCUCCUUUCCAAGAAAAGAUGCGGCAGAUCCCUCCAGCGAGGCCCACCAUCCUGCCAGACAUAGGGGGCGGGCAGUGGACCUCAGAGCUGUGCUGUCCAAUACGGCAGCCACCGCCCACAUGUGGCUAUUUACAGUUAAAUUAAACAAAAUCCAGUUCCUUGCUCACACCAACCACAUUUCAGGCGCUCAGGAGCCCCAGAUGGUGAGUGAACGCCGAGCUGGGCAGCACAGAUGCAGGACGCUGCCUCCAUCGCAGAAAGUUCUCCUGGACGCCACUGUUCCAGAUCCUGAUGGUUCAAGUGCUACGGAUGCAAUAGCUCAGCGACUGGCAGCGCAGCACGUACCUGCUGUCGUGGGAGGUGAGAGCAGCCAGUGCCCGACAGCGGCUGCAAGGCAGUGGUGGCACUCUGCAGCCAGCCGGCCCACCCCUCCAACAUCUGCAAGGGGGUGGGAGGCUGCCUCACCAAGCUACCUGCUACUCAUGGGGGCGAUGGGCAUCAGGGUGGCCUGCCUGGAGCUUCCCUUUGCAACCAAGGCUGAUUCCCACAGUCAGUCUCUCCCCCAGAGAACACGAAGGAAGAUGCCUGAGGGACAACAUGAACUUGUCAGGAACAGGGGCCUGGGAGGAGUGCGGAUGUGGGCUCAGGUACGCGCAUGCACCUUGAGUGUGUGCAUGUGGGGGUCAGUGUGCAAGCCUGCCGUGGUGUGUGUGGGUCCGUGGGGGUCCCCAUGUUCCCGGGUCUAUGUGGGUGGGGUGGUAUGCACUAUGUGUGUUUAG